GCCUGAGUGGCUCAGUGGUUGAGCGCCUGCCUUUGGCUCAGGGUGUCAUCCCAGGGUCCUGGGAUCGAGUCCCACAUCAGGCU
rnacentral:tRNA from 1 species